rnacentral:rRNA from 1 species
AGGACGAACGCUGGCGGCGUGCUUAACACAUGCAAGUCGAGCGGAAAGGCCCUUCGGGGUACUCGAGCGGCGAACGGGUGAGUAACACGUGAGUAACCUGCCCCUAGCUCCGGGAUAGCUCCGGGAAACCGGAAUUAAUACCGGAUGUGAUCACGGCCGACAUCGGCCACGAUGGAAAGAUUUAUCGGCUAGGGAUGGGCUCGCGGCCUAUCAGCUUGGUUGGUGGGGUAAUGGCCUACCAAGGCGACGACGGGUA